rnacentral:rRNA from 1 species
GUGGGGAAUAUUGGACAAUGGGCGAAAGCCUGAUCCAGCCAUGCCGCGUGUGUGAAGAAGGUCUUCGGAUUGUAAAGCACUUUAAGUUGGGAGGAAGGGCAGUAAGUUAAUACCUUGCUGUUUUGACGUUACCGACAGAAUAAGCACCGGCUAACUUCGUGCCAGCAGCCGCGGUAAUACGAAGGGUGCAAGCGUUAAUCGGAAUUACUGGGCGUAAAGCGCGCGUAGGUGGUUUUGUAAGUUGGAGGUGAAAUCCCCGGGCUCAACCUGGGAACUGCCUCCAAAACUGCAUGACUAGAGUACGGUAGAGGGUAGUGGAAUUUCCUGUGUAGCGGUGAAAUGCGUAGAUAUAGGAAGGAACACCAGUGGCGAAGGCGACUACCUGGACUGAUACUGACACUGAGGUGCGAAAGCGUGGGGAGCAAGCAGGAUUAGAUACCCGAGUAGUCC